UCCUCCUCUCAAGCACAAUCAAGGGUUGAUUGAAAGAGAGGAGAUCAGCCAUCAAAACAUAUCUCUGCAAGGGAGCUAGCACCCCGGGGAGAUUAGAGCGUUUGGAUUGGUCCUCUGCUUCGUGUGGAUACCCGUAGAGGCCGGACACUUGAACGGCUUCAAGCGAACCAUCAUCUUAAACCACGAACUUCAGUUUGCGGUGAUCAUCUACCCGCACAAGGUGAAGAUCUGAUCUUCUAAAUAUUUUAAAAGUUUUUUAAUCCUUAUCUAUCUACGAACGGUUUUUGAACAACGUUCAUGCGAUAAACGGUUGAUCCUGCGCAUGCCUCUUCCGCUGCAUCUGAAUUUUUUAAAUUUCAGCGGCAUGAUCGGGAUUUUCUAACAGUGGUAUCAGAGCCUAGGCUUCGUAGAUUAAGGUAAGGAUUAAUUAUUAGUAGGUGAUGUAGCACCAGUACGGGGGAAGAGGAGAAGAAGGAAGAACAAGAGAAGGAGAAGGAAGAAGAGGUUGUAGAGACGCAGGAAGAAUAGAGAAGGAGAGGAGAAGAAGAGAAGAAAGAACGUAGGGAAAAGAAAUUCUUAAUCAUUCAUUAAACCCUAAUCAUG
rnacentral:lncRNA from 1 species